rnacentral:rRNA from 1 species
AGUGAACGCUGGCGGUAGGCCUAACACAUGCAAGUCGAACGGCAGCACAGUAAGAGCUUGCUCUUACGGGUGGCGAGUGGCGGACGGGUGAGGAAUACAUCGGAAUCUACUUUUUCGUGGGGGAUAACGUAGGGAAACUUACGCUAAUACCGCAUACGACCUACGGGUGAAAGCAGGGGAUCUUCGGACCUUGCGCGAUUGAAUGAGCCGAUGUCGGAUUAGCUAGUUGGCGGGGUAAAGGCCCACCAAGGCGACGAUCCGUAGCUGGUCUGAGAGGAUGAUCCGCCACACUGGAACUGAGACACGGUCCAGCCUCCUACGGGAGGCAGCAGUGGGGAAUAUUGGACAAUGGGCGCAAGCCUGAUCCAGCCAUACCGCGUGGGUGAAGAAGGCCUUCGGGUUGUAAAGCCCUUUUGUUGGGAAAGAAAAGCAGCAGGUUAAUACCCCGCUGUUCUGACGGUACCCAAAGAAUAAGCACCGGCUAACUUCGUG